UACCAGCCCCCUGAGUGGUAAGGACGAUUAUUUGGCUUAAAGCGUCCGUAGCCGGCUUAGUGAGUCUCUUGUUAAAUCCAAUGAUUCAAUCAUUGAACUGCAAGAGAUACUACUAUGCUAGAGGACGGGAGAGGUCGACGGUAGUCCAAGGGUAGGGGUGAAAUCCUAUAAUCCUUGGAGGACCACCAGUGGCGAAGGCGGUCGACUAGAACGUGCCUGACGGUGAGGGACGAAAGCUGGGGGGGCGAACCGGAUUAGAUACCCGGGUAGUCCCAGCUGUAAACGAUGCGGGCUAGGUGUAGGGGCAGCUACGAGCUGCUCCUGUGCCGCAGGGAAAUUGUUAAGCCCGCCGCCUGGGGAUACGUUCGCAAGAUUGGAACUUUAAAGGAAUUGGCGGGGGAGCGACCACAAGGGGUGAAGGCUGCGGUUU
rnacentral:rRNA from 1 species